GCUGAGAUUAUAGGUGUGAGCCACUGCACCCAGCCCGAUUGAUUACUUUUAGAUAGAAAUUCACCUCAAAGGAGCAUGUGGAGUUCCUUGUCACUAGGAUGAAUGGACAAGGGCAUUGGGACAAAUCUGGCGCACUGAAGACACCCAGAAAGUGGGAUAAGAUAUCUUAACACAUUGCAGUGAAAAUAUCCAAUAUAUUGUGAAACAGAAAGAAAUCACUAGGCCAGAACUGGAGGGCAGGGAGUCAGAGAUGAAAACAGCAAGAGACGGCUGUUGCCCUCAGAGUGUCGGCAAGGUCACAUGGAGGUGAGGACUAAUGACCCAGGCCAUGGAAAGUGGGGCCCAGUGGAGAGAAGCUGGGACCCCAUGGUGCUACAGCUCAGGGUGGGUUGUGCCAGAAGUGGACUGGCAUUGACAGAGUGUUGCAGCCCAGGUUCACAGUACCUGGGUGAUGGGAGACCCUUAGCCUUCCCUCCAGUGAGGUGGUGCCGACUGGUGGUGCCUUCCAGCUCUGGGCAGAGUAAAUUCAGAUUAUUUUAUGGGGAGGACACCCUCAAUAUGGGCAUAAGAUGAUUCUUAAAAGUAAGUUUUCAAGUACAACAUCCAGCACAGAGACAGCCUGGGUGACAUUGAGACCCUAUCUGAAGACACCGUGAUGGAUUAGAGACCCAGCAGACGACAGACUGCAGCACAGACUGCGGGCGUGGGUGCUGCCAGGUGCCACACUUUACUCAGAGAGCUGCACAGACUGCAGGUGUGGGAGCUGCCAGGUGCCACACUUUAUUCAGAGAGCUGCACCGACUGCAGGUGUGGGGACUGCCAGGUGCCACACUUUACUCAGAGCUGCACAGACUGCAGGUGUGGGAGCUGCCAGGUGCCACACUUUACUCAGAGAACUGCACAGACUGAAGGUGUGGAGACUGCCACGUGCCACACUUUACUCAGAGCUGCACAGACUGCAGGUGUGGGAGCUGCCAAGUGCCACGCUUUACUCAGAACUGCACAGACUGCAGGUGUGGGGACUGCCAGGUGCCACACUUUACUCAGAGCUGCACAGACUGCAGGUGUGUGAGCUGCCAGGUGCCACACUUUACUCAGAGCUGCACAGACUGCAGGUGUGGGAGCUGCCACGUGCCACACUUUACUCAGAGAACUGCACAGACUGAAGGUGUGGAGACUGCCAGGUGCCACACUUUACUCAGAGCUGCACAGACUGCAGGUGUGUGAGCUGCCAGGUGCCACACUUUACUAAGAGCUGCACAGACUGCAGGUGUGGGAGCUGCCAGGUGCCACACUUUACUCAGAGCUGCACAGACUGCAGGUGUGGCGACUGCCAGGUGCCACACUUUACUGUGCUUAAAGAAUACAAACAGGCUGGUGGGUCACGCCUGUGAAGUACUGUGGAAAGCUGAGGCAGCAGAAUUACUUGAGCCCAGGAG